rnacentral:rRNA from 1 species
AUUGAACGCUGGCGGAAUGCUUUACACAUGCAAGUCGAACGGCAGCACGGACUUCGGUCUGGUGGCGAGUGGCGAACGGGUGAGUAAUGUAACGGAACGUGCCCAGUCGUGGGGGAUAACGUAGUGAAAAUUACGCUAAUACCGCAUACGAUCUAUGGAUGAAAGCGGGGGAUCGCAAGACCUCGCGCGAUUGGAGCGGCCGAUAUCAGAUUAGGUAGUUGGUGGGGUAAAGGCCCACCAAGCCAACGAUCUGUAGCUGGUCUGAGAGGACGACCAGCCACACCGGAACGGAGACCCGGUCCAGGCGCCUAAGGGAGGCAGCAGUGGGGAAUUUUGGACAAUGUGCGAAAUCCUGAUCCAGCCAUUCCGCGUGCAGGAUGAAGGCCCUCGGGUUGUAAACUGCUUUUGUACAGAACGAAAAGGUUUCUACUAAUACUAGGAGCUCAUGACGGUACUGUAAGAAUAAGCACCGGCUAACUACGUGCCAGCAGCCGCCGCAG